UACGAAGGGGGCUAGCGUUGCUCGGAAUUACUGGGCGUAAAGGGCGCGUAGGCGGCACUGUUAGUCAGGCGUGAAAGUCCUGGGCUCAACCUGGGAACUGCGCUUGAUACGGCAGAGCUAGAGGAUGGAAGAGGCUCGCGGAAUUCCCAGUGUAGAGGUGAAAUUCGUAGAUAUUGGGAAGAACACCGGUGGCGAAAGCGGCUCACUGGCUCGGUUCUGACGCUGAGGCGCGAAAGCGUGGGGAGCAAACAGG
rnacentral:rRNA from 1 species